AUCUGGAUGGAGUCUAUUUGGUCC
rnacentral:piRNA from 1 species